rnacentral:lncRNA from 1 species
GGUUUAAAAUUUGCUUUGGAAAAUGUCUUGGAAAAUAAAAAAAAAGCAGAGGAAAAAAAAUGGGAAGAACCCCGCAGCCCAGCACCCCCUCCUCCCCACUUUGGCCCAAAACGUGGACCGGCCCAGCAGCAGCAGGCGCGCCUUGCUUCCCCCUCUCCUCUUUGACCGACAGUUGGACCCCACCUUCGCUCUCACUGACACGCAGGACCCACGGAGCAGGGACCCUUCCUUCUCAUUUCCUUGCGCCGUGGUCGAACAGGUCUCCACCGGGGAAACCAACUCCGGCUAUUCCGGCGAUUUAUUUGCCCUUUUAGCGAAUCGAGUCCUAUAAAGCCCUAGGAACCUUCCCCC